rnacentral:lncRNA from 1 species
GCCUUCUCUCUGGCUGCAGGUGGUAUUGCUCCAUAUGCCUGAGACCCUAACAAAAGCCUAAUUACAACUCAUAUGCCUGGAGCCAGGACAUGUGCAGGAUGGUGAUGUAACUUUCCUCUCUGGAAUGGGUCCUGCACAAAGGAAUGAUAGUAACAUAUUGCAAAGCCAGACACACAGCCAUGAUGGUCCAAGUUAUAUUGGGAUUCAGCCAAUAGAAGAUAUUUUGCCUGUCAUCCCUAAGCUUAGGACAAUAGGGUCCUGCCCACAAGAAAGAUUGUGACAUCUCACUGGACAAGCACCCACCCAGACUCUGCCAAGAGAGGGGAUUAUUACAUAUUGCAGAGCCCAGCACCUAGGUGGAGUGACUCUCAUCUUUUUCUUCUACCCCGUAUAUAGCCAGCUUGGUGACCUACUAUUUGAGUCUAUACCCAGGCCCAGACCACAGAUGAAAUUGUGCAAUAUGUGGAACAAACACCUAAACAAUAUAUAACACCUUCCUUGGCUCUGUCUACAAAGGGCACUUUUAUAUAUCACUGGGACCAUCAACCAGGUGAUGUUAAUUAUCUUCCUGAAACCUGUCUACAAAGAGAGUUGUGUCGUAUACCUAGGCCCGUCAUGUAAGUGAUGUCAGUCCCUUCUACUGCCUUGGCCCUGCACUUACAGUGCAUUGUGACACAUAACAAGGUACUGCACACAGACGAUGUGAUUCUCCUUUUUGGGUUCUGCCAAAAGGAAGCAUUGUAAUAAAUCGCUUGGCUCAGUA